CGUAAAAGAGAAGCCCCUCCCCUUUCUUACUUUCCCCAUCGCCUUGCCGCUGCUGGCUGCAGCAGCCACCAAUCACUGUAACUAAAGAAGAGAGAAUAUGGAUUUGAUCAAAGUUGGCCCAGUGGGCGGACAAGCUGGAUCAUUUUGGGAUGAAAAGGGACGAGACCAAGUUGCUGGGAUUUUUGUUUCCUACAACAAAAACGCAUCUUGGGGGUACAUAUAAUGAUAUUGAGAGUAUUGGGAUCUAUGUGAAGGCCAUACCAUCCUCCCAGCUGAUCAAUUUGAAAGAUUCUCCGGUAAAUUUUAAAAAGGAAAAAGAAGAUGAAUAAGAUUAACUCAAGAUACUUUCAUCGAUCGAUUUUGUUCUUGAGCCGAGGGACAUACUAUCUUCUCCAAACCUACUUGUGGGAUUUCACUGUGUAAGGAUUACUUUUUGAUUAUUUAUUGGGAAAAAAUGUUUAGAUGCUUAAGCCCCAUCCUCUACGUUCAGUGAGGUAAACCAUUAACCACCUUCAAAUUUUGAUUGCCAAAUUUCAUCAUCUUCAUGUUAAUUGGAUAAAAAUUGUUUUCAAGAUCUUUAACCAGAUUGGUGUUUCCCAUUUAAAACUGCAUGCACUUUUUCGUAAUGACAUUUACUUGCACUAGAAUACUUCCCUCUUUCUCGUUAACUAUAUAUGCAAAUAAUUACUAAUGUGCUUGAAUAAUCAGAAAUUACAAUGGACCAAAGUGGUGUCUUGUACAUGAAUUCGCCCAAAUAUAUUUAAGUAUUAGAUCAGAAGAAUUACGGUGAUAUACACAAUCUAAAGACGGAAGCAUAGGUUUAAGUGAAACCAUACCUCUUCAUGUAAAUCCAUCCGUCUAUGGUAGUGAGGUGAAUUGCCUACCAUAUUUUUGUUUGUCAAAUGUCAUCAUUAUGUUUCUAUAAAAGUUGUCUCCAAGAUUCCUCGUAUUGAUUGGACAAAGGUUUCAAAUGAACAUCCUA